rnacentral:rRNA from 1 species
GACAGAGGGUGCAAACGUUGUUCGGAAUUACUGGGCGUAAAGCGAGUGUAGGCGGUUCGGUAAGUCGGAUGUGAAAGCCCCGGGCUCAACCCGGGAAGUGCACUCGAUACUGCCGAGCUAGAGUAUCGGAGAGGUUGGUGGAAUUCCGGGUGUAGUGGUGAAAUGCGUAGAGAUCCGGAGGAACCCCAGAGGCGAAGGCGGCGCCCUGGCUCGCAACUGACGCUCAGACACGACAGCAUGGGGAGCGAACGGG